UCCACAACAUCUUCUGGAACUCUCGGUCUGCAGAGAGUCAACGUGGGAGGUGUGAGAAAGAGAAUUGACGGUGGUCGGGAGGGUCAGAGGAUUCUUGGGCUGAGCUGGGAGUGAGGGAAGGAGAAUGCUGGAGGAAGGGUGGGCAUACAAGACGAGGAGCGAAGGUGAAGAGGAAGAGAGAAAAAAAAAUGGUAAAGGAGCGACGUUCAGCUUUGGCGGCGCACAAGUUCAUCAACAAGACCUUCAGGUGUCAAAGAGGAAUGAGAUCUGGUCCUGCAUUUAAGGCAUUUUGGAAUGGGACGACAGAUUUAAAAAUUUCAAGCCCACCAUUACAGCUGAGCGGAAAGUACCAAGAAACGCCACAAUUGCUCUAGAGGCGUCUUCAGGUAUCCUUGAAUGAGGCACUGGAACUACAGGAGCCUAACAACCCAGAACCGACUCCUGUGGCUGGACAAAAAAGAACUCCCUUUAUCCGUGACAAUAAAGAACACUUAGCGCAGACGCUGUUCCCAUUAAGACGCCUGGCAAACCAACCAAAUUGGCAGGAGUUCAGGAGGGAAGAAGUGAGCGAGCCAGUGAAACUCUGGGGAGAAAACCGAACAUGUUUAUAAUUGGCAUGCGUUUCUAUUACCACGUAUGGACCUGGGUGAAUUGUACAGUGGAUGUUAUCGAAAUGGUUUUGGUCGUUGUGGGAGUUUUACCACUCAUCAUUCUCGUGAUUAUUCCCUUGGUUUUCCUCUAUUUCACCAUACAAGUAAGUACAUGGAUUUUUCUGUGUACUAAUAACUUAAAGUUCCCACUCAAAUAUUGUUUCAGACCCACUUAAUCUGCCUUUUAGUCCAGAUACUCCAAGAUGCAGACUCCAAGAAAUGAUUAGGUAUACUAAGAGAGUUACUGGCUGGAAAGGCCUAUAACAAGAUAAUGGAGAGGGGGCAAGAGAAGGCCUGGUGAGCCCUCAGCAAUGCAGGUCUGAAUCCAUUCCUCUGGAAGCUCUAAUGCACAGAUUCCUCGCUCAGACAUGCUUGUGAGCAGGUUGGGUGUUAUUUGUUGAGUUUUAGAUAUUCAGCUUAUUAUUAUUUCAAGGGCGGAG